rnacentral:rRNA from 1 species
GAAGUUAGAGGUUCGAAGGCGAUCAGAUACCGCCCUAGUUCUAACCAUAAACGAUGCCAGCCAGCGAUCCGGCUGUGUUCCUCAAAUGACACGCCGGGCAGCUUCCGGGAAACCAAAGCUUUUGGGUUCCGGGGGAAGUAUGGUUGCAAAGCUGAAACUUAAAGGAAUUGACGGAAGGGCACCACCAGGAAUGGAGCCUGCGGCUUAAUUUGACUCAACACGGGGAAACCUACCCGGUCCGGACACAGGAAGGAUUGACAGAUUAAGAGCUCUUUCUUGAUUCUGUGGGUGGUGGUGCAUGGCCGUUCUUAGUUGGUGGAGCGAUUUGUCUGGUUAAUUCCGAUAACGAACGAGACUCUAGCCUACUAAAUAGACGUUCCGAUCAUCUGCGUCGGACGUUCUUCUUAGAGGGACAAGCGGCGUUUAGCCGCACGAGACAGAGCAAUAACAGGUCUGUGAUGCCCUUAGAUGUCCGGGGCCGCACGCGCGCUACAUUGAAGGAAUCAGCGUGUGCUUUCCCGGUCCGACAGGACUGGGUAACCCGUUGAACCUCCUUCGUGCUGGGGAUUGGCGCUUGUAAUUAUUCGCCAUGAACGAGGAAUUCCCAGUAAGCACGAGUCAUCAGCUCGUGUUGAUUACGUCCCUGCCCUUUGUACACACCGCCCGUCGCUACUACCGAUUGAAUGAUUUAGUGAGGUCUUCGGACUGGCUCUCGGAGCGGACCUACUCGGUUCGCGCCGGCGUGCCGGAAAGAUGACCAAACUUGAUCAUU